rnacentral:rRNA from 1 species
CUACGGGGGGUGCAAGCGUUGUCCGGAAUCAUUGGGCGUAAAGGGUUCGUAGGUGGAAUUAUAAGUCUGGUGUGAAAGCCCACAGCUCAACUGUGGAACUGCACUGGAUACUGUUUUUCUUGAGUUAUAGAGGGGUUUGUGGAAUUUCUGGUGUAGAGGUGAAAUUUGUAGAGAUCGGAAAGAACACCGGUGGCGAAGGCGACAAACUGGCUAUUAACUGACACUGAGGAACGAAAGCGUGGGGAGCGAACAGGAUUAGAAACCCUAGUAGUCC